rnacentral:rRNA from 1 species
GAUGAACGCUAGCUACAGGCUUAACACAUGCAAGUCGAGGGGAAACGACAUCGAAAGCUUGCUUUUGAUGGGCGUCGACCGGCGCACGGGUGAGUAACGCGUAUCCAACCUGCCCAUCACUUGGGAAUAACCUUGCGAAAGUAAGACUAAUACCCAAUGAUAUCCCACGAAGGCAUCGGAAUGGGAUUAAAGAUUUAUCGGUGAUGGAUGGGGAUGCGUCUGAUUAGCUUGUUGGCGGGGUAACGGCCCACCAAGGCAACGAUCAGUAGGGGUUCUGAGAGGAAGGUCCCCCACAUUGGAACUGAGACACGAUCCAAACUCCUACGGGAGGCAGCAGUGAGGAAUAUUGGUCAAUGGGCGAGAGCCUGAACCAGCCAAGUAGCGUGCAGGAAGACGGCCCUAUGGGUUGUAAACUGCUUUUAUAAGGGAAUAAAGUGGGUCACGUGUGACUUUUUGCAUGUACCUUAUGAAUAAGGACCGGCUAAUUCCGUG